ensembl:lncRNA
UUGCAAUUCCCUGCGGCAGAGCCCAGCCCCGUUUUGGAUUCACUUUCCUUCUUUUCACUGUCACCGAGGUCGGCUGAAUCCCCACUCCAGUAUCCACAGGGAUGGACCCAUAGGUCCCCAGCCUCAGAUUUAACGAUAUUUUCCCCAUUUUGUGGAAAAUUGCCUCAAAAUAAGCUGUUUUAGUAAUCUGUUUUAGUACUUAUUACUAUAUAUUUUCUGCUAUAGCACUAAUUGCUGCUAACUGCAUUAAUUUGUUGGAGUUUGGGUUUUCUGUGCAAUCCAGCCUGAAAGCAACGACCUUGGGACCGGCAUUUGUCACCCCACUGCCACCACCCAUGUGGACACAGGAUAUCACCAAGGCCAUCGGCCCCUCUGAGGUGUCCCCAGAGCUGCUGCAGCCCCUGGUGACUGUAGUGGCCACCUUGGGCAAGUUGGGGGCCAUCCCUGGUGACAUCUCCCUGCAAGGGAACAUGGGUUCACUGCGGGCCAGGCUGCUGACCUUCAGCUCUGGUGUGCGCAGAGCCAUGGUGCACCCAGAUGGCGAUGCCACCCGCCUCCGACGCGCCCUGGGGACAUCCAAGGAACAGCCUGGUGCCCCCACAGCCAUCACUGACUCGUGGCAGAAGGCAGUGAUCACAGUGAAGGACAUCUGGGCUGAGCUGCAGGAGGAUGCUGCAUGCCUGAGGGAUGCCUGUGGGAAUGUGGCCACUGCCAAGACUGCCACUGAGGCCACCAAGGGCCACUUGGUGGAAGCGAUAACACGGGAGGACAAAGCACACAAAGGGUUGAUAGCUGCCACCAGAGUGGUGCCUUUGUCCUCAGAGGUGGCUGACGUCACAGAGGUGGUGGCAGCCCAUGAUAUGUGGGUGGCAGAGGCCAGGGAAGGGCUGCAGGCAGCCACCAAGGCUACCGAGGAGGUGGCAGCGGUGGUGGUGGCAGCAGUGGCAGCCAAGGAGAGGGGACAACAUGCGGCAGUGGCCCAUGGGCUCCUGGUGCAGUUGGUAGCCGCCUGUAUGGGGGCCUAUAACUACUAUAGUCAUGUGGAGCACUGUGUCAGGGACAUCAAGGCCAUGGUGAGUGUCACUACUGGAGAUGAUGGCCCUGAUGUCCCCAAGGUCACUCAGGGGGACAUGGGUAUUCCCAAGGAGCUAGCAGAGAUAGUGGUGGUGGCCGAGGCACUGUGGGAUGCCAGCGCCCGCCUGACCCAGGAACACCUCUUGGGGACACUGCGGGGUGUUCGGAGCCUGCUGGCCACCUUCAGUGUCACUGAGGCCACCAAGGUCACCCAGCGCUGCCAAGAGGCCACCAACGCCCUCCCUGGGCUGCUGCCACCGGGGCUGUGAUAGGGGACAAACACAUGCAUCAGGGACCAGUGGUACCAACACCACCUUGAGGUCAUGGAGACAGCAGAUGGGGCCUUCCAACCACCAUCAGAGUGAGGACUGUCACAAAAUGUCACCUCAGUGUCACCUCCAUGCAUUCCCUCAACACCUCCAGGGACAGGGAUGCCACCACUUCCUGAUAAAAAUGGAAAAACAGUUUUGUUUUAUAAAAAUUAUUUUGUUUUAUAAAAAUGGUUUUGUUUUAUAAAAUGUUAUCACAUGACAAUGUUCUGGCUCCAUGUCACUUUAUCCCUAAUGUCAGCAGGAUAUCCUAUGUCAACAGGAUCCUCAUACAUCUCAUCCUGUGUCCCCUUCUCAUGUCUAUCCUCCUGUUCCUCUCCAGGUCCCUAUGUAUCACCUUCUACUGUGUCCCUUUGACAUCCCUUUUAUGUCCCUAUAUGUCACUUCUGCUGUGUCCCUUCCAUUUUGCUUCCCAGUGGGCCCAUGAGGGUUCCUGGUGUCCCCAAAGACAUCUCAACCAGACAAAGGGGUCCUAGCGUCCCCAUGGGCAGCUCCUGGUGUCCCCAUUGUUGGUUCUGAGAUCCCCAAAGCUACCAUAACAACAAAAGGGAAUUUCCAUGGGUGUCCUGGUAUCUCCAAGGCCACCAUGGUCAUGUCCCUGUCACCUCCUAUGUGCAUCACCACAUGUCCCCCCUCUUGAAAUGGGAUGAAACUGGAGACCUCCAGACCUUGCAGGAAGGUGGCGGCCCCCAGCCACCAAAAUCAACAAGUGUGGUCCAAGAGUGGUCCUGUUACAUCCUGCCACAGGCCAGGGGUUCCUGGAGUCACUGAAGUGACAUUGAGGGGUCUUGAGGGGCUGCCAGGGAGACAAGACGGAAAGGCUGGAUAAGGAGCUCCAGUCUGCAGGUCUGCAGGGGUCGCUGCAAACCCUGGGACCCCAACUCCUGUGGGACUCCCCGAAAAAGACAGCACCCCUAAGAAGUCCCCAACACCGAGGGGAUCCCCUCACAUCCCACAGGACCCCUCAAUCUGCAUGGGACGCCUGUGACCCUUCCAAAAUUCCGCAGUGCCAGUGGGAUUCCGCACAUCCUCCCAAAUACAAUAAGCCCACCUGAAAAAAGGCAAAACCUAUGGGAGCCCACAGACCCUCCCAAUCCCUAUAGCACUUCCCCCAAUAAAAAAAAAAAAUAAAUAAAAAAAAGAAAAGAA